rnacentral:rRNA from 1 species
CGCUGGCGGCAUGCCUAACACAUGCAAGUCGAACGAGACCUUCGGGUCUAGUGGCGCACGGGUGCGUAACGCGUGGAAUCUGCCCUUUGCUUCGGAAUAACAGUUAGAAAUGACUGCUAAUACCGGAUGAUGUCUUCGGACCAAAGAUUUAUCGCCCAAGGAUGAGCCCGCGUAAGAUUAGCUAGUUGGUGAGGUAAAGGCUCACCAAGGCGACGAUCUUUAGCUGGUCUGAGAGGAUGAUCAGCCACACUGGGACUGAGACACGGCCCAGACUCCUACGGGAGGCAGCAGUGGGGAAUAUUGGACAAUGGGCGCAAGCCUGAUCCAGCAAUGCCGCGUGCAGGAUGAAGGCCUUCGGGUUGUAAACUGCUUUUGUACGGAACGAAACGGUGAGCUCUAAUACAGUUUGCUAAUGACGGUACCGUAAGAAUAAGCACCGGCUAACUACGUG